rnacentral:lncRNA from 1 species
CUCUCAGAAGCUUGCUGCCAUGUUAUAAAGAAGCUCAGAUGGAUCACUGGAUGAUGAGAAGCCUCAAGGAGAGAUGCCCUAAAGGAUGAGAGGCCAUCUUGAAAGUUCCAGCCCCUGCAGAGCUCCUACCUUAAUGCAGCCACACAAGUGACCACAGCUAUUCCACAAGGAGCAGAACCCAACCAACCCACAAAACUGAGAAAAAUAAUACCUUGUUGUGUUAAGUCACUAAGUUUGAGUGGCUUGUGAUACUGCAAGAGAACUGAAGCAGACCUCUUCAGACAGAUUAAAAUGGGGGACCCUGGCUAUUGCUGGGCUCCUCUGGGAAGAGUCUCCUAAAGAGAUGUCUUAGGCCCCUUUGCCCAAAUGGCUGCAGAGGGUUUCCUUGUGGUAUGACUUUCACACUUAUGGACCACGCCCA